rnacentral:rRNA from 1 species
AUUGAACGCUGGCGGCAUGCUUUACACAUGCAAGUCGAACGGCAGCACAGGGAGCUUGCUCCUGGGUGGCGAGUGGCGAACGGGUGAGUAAUGUAUCGGAACGUGCCUGGUAGUGGGGGAUAACUACUCGAAAGAGUGGCUAACACCGCAUGAGAUCUUUGGAUGAAAGCGGGGGACCUUCGGGCCUCGUGCUACUGGAGCGGCCGAUAUCAGAUUAGGUUGUUGGUGGGGUAAAGGCCUACCAAGCCUGCGAUCUGUAGCUGGUCUGAGAGGACGACCAGCCACACUGGGACUGAGACACGGCCCAGACUCCUACGGGAGGCAGCAGUGGGGAAUUUUGGACAAUGGGCGCAAGCCUGAUCCAGCAAUGCCGCGUGCAGGACGAAGGCCUUCGGGUUGUAAACUGCUUUUGUACAGAACGAAAAGUCUCUGGCUAAUAUCUAGAGAUCAUGACGGUACUGUAAGAAUAAGCACCGGCUAACUACGUG